rnacentral:rRNA from 1 species
AGCUCCAAUAGCGUAUAUUAAAGUUGUUGCGGUUAAAAGCUCGUAGUUGGAUUUCUGUUGGAAACUGUCGGUCCGCUUUAUGGGUGUGCAUCAGACAAGUUUUUGACAUCUUUUCGAGGCAAUUAUCUGUGCUUGAUUGCACAAUGUUGCGUCCGAGACCUUUACAUUGAGGAAAUUAGAGUGUUCGCAGCAAUCAAACGUUAUGAAUACAUUAGCAUGGAAUAAUUUUUUAGGACCUUAUUACUAUUUCGUUGGUUUUUAGAAAUAAGGUAAUGGUUAAUAGGGAUAGUUGGGGGCAUCUGUAUUAACGCGUCAGAGGUGGAAUUCUUGGAUUGCGUUACGACAAACUAAUGCGAAAGCAUUUGCCAAGGAUGUUUUCGUUGAUCAAGAACG